rnacentral:rRNA from 1 species
UACGAAGGGGGCUAGCGUUGCUCGGAAUCACUGGGCGUAAAGGGUGCGUAGGCGGGUCUUUAAGUCAGUGGUGAAAUCCUGCAGCUUAACUGCAGAACUGCCAUUGAUACUGUCAAUCUUGAGUACAUUUGAUGUGGGCGGAAUGUGUCAUGUAGCGGUGAAAUGCUUAGAUAUGACACAGAACACCGAUUGCGAAGGCAGCUCACAAAACUGUAACUGACGCUGAGGCACGAAAGCGUGGGUAUCAAACAGG